GACGAACGCUGGCGGCGUGCUUAACACAUGCAAGUCGAACGGAAAGGCCCUGCUUUUGUGGGGUGCUCGAGUGGCGAACGGGUGAGUAACACGUGAGUAACCUGCCCUUGACUUUGGGAUAACUUCAGGAGACUGGGGCUAAUACCGGAUAGGAGCUCCUGCUGCAGGGUGGGGGUUGGAAAGUUUCGGCGGUUGGGGAUGGACUCGCGGCUUAUCAGGUUGUUGGUGGGGUAGUGGCUUACCAAGGCUUUGACGGGUAGCCGGCCUGAGAGGGUGACCGGCCACAUUGGGACUGAGAUACGGCCCAGACUCCUACGGGAGGCAGCAGUGGGGAAUAUUGCACAAUGGGCGGAAGCCUGAUGCAGCAACGCCGCGUGCGGGAUGACGGCCUUCGGGUUGUAAACCGCUUUCGCCUGUGACGAAGCGUGAGUGACGGUAAUGGGUAAAGAAGCACCGGCUAACUACGUG
rnacentral:rRNA from 1 species